rnacentral:rRNA from 1 species
GUCAGCGGCGGACGGGUGAGUAACACGUGGGUAACCUGCCUGUAAGACUGGGAUAACUCCGGGAAACCGGGGCUAAUACCGGAUGCUUGAUUGAGCCGCAUGGUUCAAUUAUAAAAGGUGGCUUUCAGCUACCACUUACAGAUGGACCCGCGGCGCAUUAGCUAGUUGGUGAGGUAACGGCUCACCAAGGCGACGAUGCGUAGCCGACCUGAGAGGGUGAUCGGCCACACUGGGACUGAGACACGGCCCAGACUCCUACGGGAGGCAGCAGUAGGGAAUCUUCCGCAAUGGACGAAAGUCUGACGGAGCAACGCCGCGUGAGUGAUGAAGGUUUUCGGAUCGUAAAACUCUGUUGUUAGGGAAGAACAAGUACCGUUCGAAUAGGGCGGCACCUUGACGGUACCUAACCAGAAAGCCACGGCUAACUACGUGCCAGCAGCCGCGGUAAUACGUAGGUGGCAAGCGUUGUCCGGAAUUAUUGGGCGUAAAGCGCGCGCAGGCGGUUUCUUAAGUCUGAUGUGAAAGCCCCCGGCUCAACCGGGGAGGGUCAUUGGAAACUGGGGAACUUGAGUGCAGAAGAGGAGAGUGGAAUUCCACGUGUAGCGGUGAAAUGCGUAGAGAUGUGGAGGAACACCAGUGGCGAAGGCGACUCUCUGGUCUGUAAC